rnacentral:rRNA from 1 species
GUCUGACCUGCCCACUGAAUAUAAAUUUAAAUGGCUGCAGUAUUUUAACUGUACAAAGGUAGCAUAAUCAUUAGUUUUUUAAUUGAAAGCUAGAAUGAAUGGUUGCAUGAAAUAUUAACUGUUUCAAUUUAAUUUUUUAUAAAAAUUUAUUUUUUAGUCAAAAAGCUAAAAUAUUAUUAAAAGACGAGAAGACCCUAUAAAUCUUUAUAAUUAUAAUUUUAUUUUUUUAUAGAAAAUUUUAAAAAUAAUAUAAUUAAUUAUUUUAUUGGGGUGAUAUUAAAAUUUUAUAAACUUUUAAUUUUUUAAAACCAUAAAUUAAUGAAUUUAUGAUCCAUAAUAAUGAAUAUAAAUUUAAGUUACUUUAGGGAUAACAGCGUAAUUUUUUUAGAGAGUUCAUAUUAAUAAAAAAGAUUGCGACCUCGAUGUUGAAUUAAGAUAUAAAUUUAGGUGCAGUAGUUUAAAUUUA